CCUACGGGGGGCUGCAGUGGGGAAUAUUGGACAAUGGGGGCAACCCUGAUCCAGCCAUGCCGCGUGUGUGAAGAAGGCCCUCGGGUUGUAAAGCACUUUCAGUGAGGAAGAACGCCUGGUGGUUAAUACCCAUCAGGAAAGACAUCACUCACAGAAGAAGCACCGGCUAACUCCGUGCCAGCAGCCGCGGUAAUACGGAGGGUGCGAGCGUUAAUCGGAAUUACUGGGCGUAAAGCGCGCGUAGGUGGCUUGAUAAGCCGGUUGUGAAAGCCCCGGGCUCAACCUGGGAACGGCAUCCGGAACUGUCAAGCUAGAGUGCAGGGGAGGAAGGUAGAAUUCCCGGUGUAGCGGGGAAAUGGGUAGAGAUCGGAGGAAUACCAGUGGCGAAGGCGGCCUUCUGGACUGACACUGACACUGAGGUGCGAAAGCGUGGGUAGCAAACAGGAUUAGAUACCCUGGUAGUC
rnacentral:rRNA from 1 species